UAGUACCGUUGAGGGAAAGUUGAAAAGAACUUUGAAGAGAGAGUUCAAGAGUACGUGAAACCGUUCAGGGGUAAACCUGAGAAACCCAAAAGAUCGAAUGGGGAGAUUCAACGUAAACUUUGCCGAUUGCCGUGUAACGCGCGAUAUUUGUUAUCUCGGUAACGAGUACGCCGUUGCUGCGGUUUGUAUUGGUUAAGUAAGCGUGCACUUCUCCCCUAGUAGGACGUCGCGACCCGUUGGGUGCCGGCCUACGGCCCGCAAGGUCGACUGUUGCUUGGGCGUUUACGCGCCUCUCGUGGCAGACCUGCGGAUGCCCGGCCGGCUGCCCGGCGGUAGUGAUUAAUCAAGAAUUGGUAUUUGGCCGCAUCUCGUAUGUGCGUACCGGCUCAUUGGCAGGCUCGCCUUGCUCGGUAAACGGACCUAGCGCCGUUGCCGGGUACUUGGUGGGUCGUUCGCUGACGAUGUCCUCGUACUGGCUAUUACCGGUCGGCGACGCUACUGCUUUGGGUACUUUCAGGACCCGUCU
rnacentral:rRNA from 1 species